CUCCUCAGCCCAUGGAAUUUUCCAGGCAAGAACUCUGGAGUGGGUUGCCUCCACGGUAAGGGAUUUAGAUGUGAUCCUAGAAGCUACUGAAGGGCCCUCUGAUGAUGGCUGGAGAUCUGGUCCCAGGGCAGCUCUCUGCAUGAUGCUUUACUACACAGGCCCUGUCCAUGGUGCUGCUCCACAUUCUCCAGGACCUGGGACCCUCUGCAUCCAGUACCUAGCUGGGGAAAUGUAAGUAGAGGGGGUUGACCUGCUCCUUAAGAAGUCCUGGC
ensembl:lncRNA